rnacentral:rRNA from 1 species
GACGAACGCUGGCGGCGUGCCUAAUACAUGCAAGUAGGACGCAGUUGCGAACGGGUGAGUAACGCGUAUGUAACUGCCUAUUAGAGGGGGAUAACUAUUGGAAACGAUAGCUAAUACCGCAUACUAGUAGAUGGACCUGCGUUGUAUUAGCUAGGAGGUAGGGUAAUGGCAUACCUAGGAGACGUUACAUAGCCGAGCUGAGGGGGUGAUCGGCCACACUGUGACUGAGACACGGCCCAGACGCCUACGGGAGGGAGCAGUAGGGAAUCUUCGGCAAUGGGGGGAAACCUGACCGAGCCACGCCGCGUGAGUGAAGAAGGUUUUCGGGUCGUAAAGCUCUGUUGUGAAGGAAGCGGUACUUAACCAGAAAGGGACGGCUAACUACGUGCCAGCAGCCGCGGUAAUAC